rnacentral:rRNA from 1 species
GAUGAACGCUGGCGGCGUGCCUAAUACAUGCAAGUCGAGCGAACAGACGAGUUGCUUGCUCCUCUGACGUUAGCGGCGGACGGGUGAGUAACACGUGGAUAACCUACCUAUAAGACUGGGAUAACUUCGGGAAACCGGAGCUAAUACCGGAUAAUAUAUUGAACCGCAUGGUUCAAUAGUGAAAGACGGUUUUGAUGUCACUUAUAGAUGGAUCCGUGUCGCAUUAGCUAGUUGGUAAGGUAACGGCUUACCAAGGCGACGGUGGGUAGCCGACCUGCGAGGGUGAACGGCCACAAUGGAACUGAGACGCGGUCCAGACUCCUACGGGAGGCCGCAAUAGGGAAUCUUGCGCAAUGGGCGAAAGCCUGACGGAGCAACGCCGCGUGAGUGAUGAAGGUCUUCGGAUCGUAAAACUCUGUUAUUGGGGAAGAACGAAUGUGUAAGUAACUAUGCACGUCGUGACGGUACCUAAUCAGAAAGCCACGGCUAACUACGUG